GGGCACUGGGGUGGGAUAUGGGGACAUCGGGGCCCUUUGGGUCUGUUUGCGGGAAUUUAGGGUCGCUGGGGAUAGGAUUUGGGGCCGAUUGGGGCCAUUUUGAGCCCAGUUAGGGCCAUUCGGGGCCACUUAGGGCCACCUAGGGCAGGAUUUGGGUCUAUUUAGAGCUAUUUGGGGCCUUUUGGGGUUCCUAAUAACAAAAUGUUAAGGCGUUUGGGGUUUUUCAGGGUCGCUAACAACAGCAUUUAGGGCUACGUGAACCUAUUUAGGUCCACUUAGGACCCCUAAAAAUAGGGAUUUCCGCUCAUUUAAGACAUUUAGGAUAGGAUUUGAGACUUUUUACGGCUAUUUACAGCUUUUCAGAUUCCUAAAUAAACAAUUUGGGGCCAUUUGGGGCCAUUUGGAGGCUAUUUAGGGCUAUUUACGGUGGGGAGACGACCCCGGGGUACUUUUGGGGUGCUGGGGGGUAUCUAUGGGGCACCGUGGGGUGUCUAUGGGGCGCUGUGGGGCACCGUGGGGCCCUAUAGGUUAUCUAUAGGGCAUUAUAGGGUGUCCAUGGGUCGUUGUGGGGCGCCGUGGGGUACCUGUGGGGCACUGUGGGGUGUCUAUGGGGCGCUGUGGGGCUCCGUGGGGCCCUAUAGGUUAUCUAUAGGGCAUUAUAGGGUGUCUAUGGGUUG
rnacentral:lncRNA from 1 species